CAACAAAAAGACCUAGAGAAAACCAAAACCCCAGAAUAGAAGGUGUGUGACUUCACAGUCCCCGAGUGACUAUGCAGCAGAGGACCCACCCCCACUAAAGCCAACACUGGACUACAGGAUUCACUCUCUCCGCUUUGUGCAAGCCUGAAUGGUGAUCCAUAAAAAUGUCAUAAAUUAUAGAGUGCAAAUAGUGUCGAAUCCUGUGCUCACAAGGGACCCAAAGUGGUAAUCCUGCAUUCCUCAGUUUUAAAUACACAGAAAAAUGCUCUGGCCUACCGUGUAAAAGGAUGACAUUUGCAAAAACACCUCAGUGGAGCUCAUCACUGAUUUCUGCUGCCAGUGAAGGGAGGGGAGACAAGAAGAUGAGCUGGACAGUAGCGUGACUAAACUGUCAUUCUAUUCAUGAAAAGUCCAAAUACAAUGGGAGGGCAACAGUAUGUUUACUCCAACUAAAAUUAGAUCAAAUCCUUCUUGUCCAGCUUGCCAGAUUUGUUGAAGUGUUAACAGACCAAUACAAAUAUUGUUCUUUGCUGCA